UCAAACUUUAGACUUAUUCCACUCUACGUGACUGGUUUUCACCUUUGAAAAUGUUGGUGGAAAAAAUACACGCGAAGUGUCAUUUUUUUCGACAAAGUGAUCGUGACGUGACGUUCAUAAUAACACCGAGUUCAUUCAAGUUGUCACUUCAAAUGAACUCUACACAUUUUAUCACGAAGGUGACACCCGGAAUACGGUGUUGAUCACUUCACUUCGUCUACACCGUGAAGUGAUACCCCAUUCCGAACCAAAUUCCGAAUGGUUUGACCGGGCAGUAAUAGGCUACGAGAAGUGUUUCUUCCUUUUCGGAAAUAAAUUUGUGAUAGAACGGACCUGUUUCACGGAGCAGUGUGGAUUUAUUCCCUACAAGCUGGCCUCGCUAUGAAAUAAGAUAAUCAGCAUCAAUCUCUGGCAGUCCAAAAGAAAUGUUUCUCCCCCUGAAAACUCGCAAAAUCCUUCACGUGUUCUUAUCGUUCCAUUCCACCCAGGAAAAUCUAGGUUAAAGCAAUCAUUAGCUGCAGACGAUUCGCAGAUAGGUAUCAUUCCGAGUUUUCUCCUUUCUUCUCUUCACAAAUUAAAGGAAGAAAAAACUCAAUCGAGACUUCUUCGUGGAAGGAAAAGAAUUCACCGUGUGACGACUGCUCAUUAAAAUAACCUAUUGAAACGGAACAAGUUUCUAAAAGACUCCCCCCUGCUCUACCACCCACUUUGCCCCAUCCCCCCGUGCAUUAAUGGGCAGCAAAUCCAAUACGAAUCGCAGCAAAUUCCGUGGGGACAAAGCGAUAAGCGCGACCCGACUCAGUUAACUGCUUCUGAAAAUAUAUACAACUAGGUACACUUCUCUCUUCCUUCUACUUGGCAUUUUCACCGUUAAUCUGCUCUAAAGGGGAAACGACUGUCGAGGGCGACGGAAUCGUCUUGGAUUUAAUUGAAAUUUAAAGAAAAAAUGUCAGCAAUAGGGAAAAAAUCUAACUGAAACGAAAUAAUUAUCUCUUCAGUAGUUAAGCGCCAGAGGAGAAUCAGGGAAUCGCUUAACUUUUGCCCGUUUUCAUUCAAGACGGCCCCUUCUGGCAAGGUGUCUGUCUAAUGACACUGGAUUAGACACCGAGGAAAAGUCUUUUAUGAAUUAGAAAAGUUGUAGCCAUUCACCCUGCUGGUUAGCUGGCAAACAGAAGGGUUGUGAAAAAUGUUAAAUCGAUUGAAAACUUGGUUUGAGUUUGCCUCAAUACUGACGAGGUAAAUUAAGGUGUACAGGUAAUUCUAAUAAAUUUUCGGUUCAGUACCUCGCCCGCUUAGGUCCUAAUUCGUUCCUCAAAUAAUACUUGUAUUUCGAAUUCAUCUCGUCAGUAACUAGCACCAACUUGAGGCCAACUUGGACGAUGUAUCCAAAUUAGUACCUAAAUUAGCACUACUUAGACACAAUAUUCCCAACAGUCACACGACACAUGUGAACGCUUAAAUCAACUGGCUUGCCGAGUGAUGUCCCGGGAAGCAAAGACAGACGUUCCGGUUUAGUAAAAAUUGUCUUUCUUUACCCUUUGAAAUUUUAUAAGAAAAAAUCGUGAUGUUCUUUAUAGAAUCGUUUUUUUAUUAUUUGUCCAAUAAAUGUAGUUUUAUCCUAAGUUUGU